GAUGAACGCUGGCGGCGUGCCUAAUACAUGCAAGUCGAGCGAACGGACGAGAAGCUUGCUUCUCUGAUGUUAGCGGCGGACGGGUGAGUAACACGUGGAUAACCUACCUAUAAGACUGUGAUAACUUCGGGAAACCGGAGCUAAUACCGGAUGAUAUUUUGAACCGCAUGGUUCAAAAGUGAAAGACGGUCUUGCUGUCACUUAUAGAUGGAUCCGCGCUGCAUUAGCUAGUUGGUAAGGUAACGGCUUACCAAGGCAACGAUGCAUAGCCGACCUGAGAGGGUGAUCGGCCACACUGGAACUGAGACACGGUCCAGACUCCUACGGGAGGCAGCAGUAGGGAAUCUUCCGCAAUGGGCGAAAGCCUGACGGAGCAACGCCGCGUGAGUGAUGAAGGUCUUCGGAUCGUAAAACUCUGUUAUUAGGGAAGAACAUAUGUGUAAGUAACUGUGCACAUCUUGACGGUACCUAAUCAGAAAGCCACGGCUAACUACGUG
rnacentral:rRNA from 1 species